rnacentral:rRNA from 1 species
CGGACGGGUGAGUAACACGUGGAUAACCUACCUAUAAGACUGGGAUAACUUCGGGAAACCGGAGCUAAUACCGGAUAAUAUAUUGAACCGCAUGGUUCAAUAGUGAAAGACGGUUUUGCUGUCACUUAUAGAUGGAUCCGCGCCGCAUUAGCUAGUUGGUAAGGUAACGGCUUACCAAGGCGACGAUGUGUAGCCGACCUGAGAGGGUGAUCGGCCACACUGGAACUGAGACACGGUCCAG